rnacentral:rRNA from 1 species
UACGUAGGGUGCAAGCGUUGUCCGGAAUCAUUGGGCGUAAAGAGCGUGUAGGCGGCCCGAUAAGUCCGCUGUGAAAGUCCAGGGCUCAACCCUGGAAUGCCGGUGGAUACUGUCGGGCUCGAAUCCGGAAGAGGUGAGUGGAAUUCCUGGUGUAGCGGUGAAAUGACGCAGAUAUCAGGAGGAACACCAAUGGCGAAGGCAGCUCACUGGGACGGUAUUGACGCUGAGACGCGAAAGCGUGGGGAGCAAACAGG